rnacentral:lncRNA from 1 species
UUGCCCCUUUUCUGAUUUUGUCACAUGGAGAGCUUUGGAAGAUGUCAUGAGGUAGUAGGGAAAUAAAUCCCAGCAGUAAAUUCUCUCUCCACUUUGUGCUAAUAUUCUCUAUUUUGAUUUUAGGGUUUAUCAUGAAAAGAGGGGUUUAUUUCUUUUAUUGAUCACGUGCCUAUUCAACUGUGGAAUUACAAAGUACUUGACGUCAGAUGAAUCGACUAGGAACAAAUAUGGAGAAAAUCGAGAGAUGAAGUGUUGAACACACAGUGUCCUCAGAAUUUGGAACUAAGUUGGUAGACAAAAGUUAGUUCAAGCGACAUUGAUUAAAACAGUAUUUGGUAAAUUGCCAUGGCGCUAUCAGUAUCCGUCCUACCUACCAUCUAUACAUUGCUCGCAAAUUCGCUCAGUGGCGAUGAGAGCUUGCGGAAGCCACACUCUUUCAGUCUGAAAACCGACCUGGCUUCUGCUCUGGUCUUAUGGAAGUAAUAGAUGGAAAGAACUCCGACACACUAAAAAUUGCUCAUCUUGGGUAUCGACAAAUCCAUCAGUGCAACAUGUUCAGUCAUGACACUUCGGAUAAUAGCAGCUCACUUCAGAUUAUAUUGCACUGGUUUCAUUAUGUCUUCGGUUGUUCACUUUCGGCGAAUAUAAAGUCUGAUCAAAGUCUCCCACAAGGGUCGGGACGAUUAUUAUGGUAGCAUAAGGUCAAACGGGGUAUAAGGUCGGGCAAAACGUCCUUUGGAAGUGGCUUUGUUCCCCCGAACGGACAAAACGUCCUUCAGAAAUGGCUUUGUUACCCUCAAACGGACAAACGGACAAACGUCCUUCGAAAAUGGCUUUGUUCCCCCCGAAUGAACAAACGUCCUUCGGUUGUGAAAGGUUGAUUAUUUUUCUUCGGUUGUGAUAAGGUUGGUUAUUUGUCUUCAGUUCUGAUAAAGUUGGUAAUCUGUUUGGCGUAUGGUGUUUGGGUGAGACAGUUCAUCUUCGGUAGAUACGAAUCUUUAGUUAAGAUAAAUUUGUAUACUCUCGUAUUUUAAGUUUCUUAUAAAUAAGAGACUGGGGGUAAUGUUGGAAUGUAAUUAUUUGGGUCUAACCAAGGUGUAGCCCAACUUAUUUAAUGGACCGGAUUUGGUGUUGGCCUAUAUAUGUUUAUUAUCUAUUUGCUCAAAUAGUG